rnacentral:misc_RNA from 1 species
UCCCGUUUGCUACGGGCAGUCUCGCUAGAGAAGUACAACUAGCGACAAGGGUUGCGCUCGUUGCGGGACUUAACCCAACACCUCACGGCACGAGCUGACGACAACCAUGCACCACCUGUACACCUCGGACGAACCCGAUGCAUCUCUGCAUCUGAACGGUGUAUGUCAAGCCCAGGUAAGGUUCUUCGCGUUGCUUCGAAUUAAGCCACAUGCUCCGCCGCUUGUGCGGGCCCCCGUCAAUUCCUUUGAGUUUUAGCCUUGCGGCCGUAGUCCCCAGGCGGGGUGCUUAACGCGUUAGCUUCGGCGCGGAAAUCGUGAACUGAUCCCCACACCUAGCACCCAUCGUUUACGGCGUGGACUAC